CCUACGGGAGGCAGCAGUGAGGAAUAUUGGUCAAUGGACGAGAGUCUGAACCAGCCAAGUAGCGUGAAGGAUGACUGCCCUAUGGGUUGUAAACUUCUUUUAUAAAGGAAUAAAACGAGGCACGUGUGCCUUUUUGCAUGUACUUUAUGAAUAAGGUUCGGCUAACUCCGUGCCAGCAGCCGCGGUAAUACGUAGGAUCCGAGCGUUAUCCGGAUUUAUUGGGUUUAAAGGGGGCGUAGAUGGGUUGUUAAGUCAGUUGUGAAAGUUUGCGGCUCAACCGUAAAAUUGCAAUUGAUACUGGCAGUCGUGAGUACAGUUGAGGUAUGCGGAAUUCGUGGUGUAGCGGUGAAAUGCUUAGAUAUCACGAAGAACCCCGAUUGCGAAGGCAGCUUACUAAACUGUGACUGACAUUGAUGCUCGAAAGUGUGGGUAUCAAACAGGAUUAGAUACCCCUGUAGUC
rnacentral:rRNA from 1 species